UGAAAAUGCAUCCAGGCCGUGACAGUGCUG
rnacentral:piRNA from 1 species